GAUUGAUGAACAUCAAUGUUUAUAUACCUUUAAAUUUCAUCCAAAGUCAUCUGAUUAAAAUUAAUAUCAACUCUAUAUAUUAUUGAAAUAAUUGUGGAAAACAUGAAAAGAUUCAUUUUUGUCCCUCUCAUCAUAAUAACUGCAAGGUGUUUAAAUAAAGGAUUGCUCCAAGUAUUGCAGAAAUAAUGAUCAACGUGAUUUUAAUUAUUUGAGUGGUAGCUUGAAAAAAAAAUUCAAUAGUUUGUCAAAAUAACUAGAAAUUUUCACCAAGCUAACAAAUAAUUCAUGAUUUUUUCUUGUAAAUUACUGUUACUCUUGACUUUUUAGAGAUUUUUUUAUCAUAUGAAUUGAUUUUAAAUUAAAUGAGUCGAUAGAUUUUAAUCUAAUUCUGAAUAUUGGCAACUUGAUGGGCAACUCGCACAUUUUGGUAACAUCGAAAGUAUCUGCAUUUUUGUUAUUCACCUUGACUACUGGAAAACAGGAUUGGUGCAAAAAUGGGAAAAAAUAAUGAAACAUUUGAAGCAUCCAAUGGAAAUAAAGUUCGAUUGAGGUGAUUAGUGCGUCAAAUGUUGGAAAUGAUUAGCUGGUGAUGAUUUGACAGCUGAUUUGUGCAAUUGUGUAUCAAUUUGCUGUGUUUUGAUUGUGCGAGCAGUUAGGUGAAGAAAAAAAGGUAAGAUUUAGAGGAUUUUCUCAAAGGCAAAAACCAACGAACAAAAAAGAUGGAGAAAAAAGGGAAAAAGAUUGGGAAGAUGAAGAAGAGAAGAAAAGAUUUAAGGGGCAAUGAAUGGAAGAUUUUUGAGGGGAAAGAAAGACAGACAAGGAGAAAGAAAAAUUAUUGAGAAAGAUGAAAAAAUGAGAAGAGAGACAGAAAAAGGAAGGAGAAGUUUGGAGCAUUGACUUGACUCAUCACCGGUCGUGAGUAUAAGUUCUUUUUGUCUUGUAUCCUUUGUGUGAUUCCUCAUCAUUUAUCAUCAUCAUUCUCAGAAACAGUAUUUUCAACCCUUAUCCGUUUCCUUUGUUGUCCAGUCUUUAAAUUUUUCUGUGAAACAAGUGAUUCUUUCCGGCAAUUCCAAGAAAAAAUGGAUCAAUCUUCGCUUAUCUCUGAGACAGUCAAAAAUAUCAUCAGUGAUGCAGUGGACAAGAUCAUUUUGGCAGAAGAAGCUGGAAAGUCCGUCAUUAGUAAUGGCCAGGAUAAAUGCAGGACCGAUGAAAAUGGUUUGGAAAA